UACGUAGGGGGGCAAGCGUUGUCCGGAUUUAUUGGGCGUAAAGAGCGUGUAGGCGGCCAGAUAGGUCCGUUGUGAAAACUGGAGGCUUAACCUCCAGCUGUCGAUGGAAACCAUCUGGCUAGAGUCCGGAAGAGGAGAGUGGAAUUCCUGGUGUAGCGGUGAAAUGCGCAGAUAUCAGGAAGAACACCCGUGGCGAAGGCGGCUCUCUGGGACGGUACUGACGCUGAGACGCGAAAGCGUGGGGGAGCGAACAGG
rnacentral:rRNA from 1 species